GGCUCCCGGUUGGUUCUUCCCGUUCUUUGCGCCGCCUUCACCCAUUGAAGGAGCCUGUGCCCACCCUGCCCAGUCGCUUUCGGGGCCGCUGAGGAGCUUCCGCUGCCAUCUUCGGAUCCUGUGUUCCGCACGGGGGCUCCACCAGGGCAGGGAUGGUGUAGAAUGGGGAAAUGGAGAGAGAACCUGAAAGAGCCCCAAACUCGAGGACCUAUUGCUCCCCAAGAAUAACAUCUUCCAGAAGAACUAGACAGAAAACUAGGCGUCUGGGAACUCUGAAAUCCUUGGAGGAGUAGCAUCAUCAUGACCCUCUGUGUUCCUUUUGGCAAAGGACUUGCUCCCAUUGUUUGCUUGUUCAAUUGUCUGUCUGUUAAAUAAAUAAAACCCUUUUCCUAUAUCUUUAAAAUUA
rnacentral:lncRNA from 1 species